CUCGAAGGUACGCUCAGCGCGGUCGGACAUCGCGCACUGUGUGCAAAGGCAUAAGCGUGCUUGACUGCAAGAUCGACGGAUCAAGCAGGUAGGAAACUAGGACUUAGUGAUCCGGUGGUUCUGUAUGGAAGGGCCAUCGCUCAACGGAUAAAAGGUACUCCGGGGAUAACAGGCUGAUACCGCCCAAGAGUUCAUAUCGACGGCGGUGUUUGGCACCUCGAUGUCGGCUCAUCACAUCCUGGGGCUGUAGUCGGUCCCAAGGGUAUGGCUGUUCGCCAUUUAAAGUGGUACGCGAGCUGGGUUCAGAACGUCGUGAGACAGUUCGGUCCCUAUCUGCCAUGGGCGUUGGAGAUUUGAGAGGGGCUGCUCCUAGUACGAGAGGACCGGAGUGGAC
rnacentral:rRNA from 1 species